rnacentral:lncRNA from 1 species
CAGAAAAGCAAAUGAUAACGGCAGGAAAUAUCUUGGAAAUAUUCAGAGAGUUGAGGGGAAUGAUGUCAUAAUGCACUUGAAGAAGAAGAGGAAGAAAACAGAAGCAGGAGAAAGAUAAGAGUAGACAGGGAUGAAACGUCAAUGUACCAGAUCUUUGGUAGGUCAAAUAUGAGUGACAAACUCUACGUGCUGAAUGAAGACUAGAUCAAGAUCAUUAGAGUGGAAGAUGCAAAAGAUUGAACCUAGGUUCAAUUGCUGGCUCUGGAGAUAGAAGCAUACAAAGACUACAAAAGAUGACCCAAAAUUUUAACAUGUUUUAGAAGUCCUAGAUUUGUAUUAUUCCUAGGAUUAGCGGAGACCAUUAGUUGCUUUCGACUGGUUUCAUGCACAGUAAAACAAAAGAAUCAGAGAAGGAGGAAAAGAAAGUGGAGGAAGAAGAGGAACAGCAGGCUUCAGCAUGGAUAGACUAAAAAUUGCAUAUGUGUGAGUCCAGAUUUCUGUUUUGCAAUUCUAUGACACGGGGAAAGCUAUUUAAUCUGAGUCAGGUCCUUUAUAUAUAACAUGGGCAUAAGACUACCUAACAUUAAGCUAUGUAGAUAAAAAUGAGAUGGUGACUGUAAGCCAUCUGGCACAUAAGUAAGUUUUCAAUAUAUUUUAAUCCCCUUUGUUCAACUCUACCCCUGCCCAAGGUCCUUCCAUAACCCUCAAAGCACAGUGAGGCAGGAC